ACGCUGGCGGCAGGCCUAACACAUGCAAGUCGAGCGGUAGCACAGGAGAGCUUGCUCUCUGGGUGACGAGCGGCGGACGGGUGAGUAAUGUCUGGGAAACUGCCUGAUGGAGGGGGAUAACUACUGGAAAACGGUAGCUAAUACCGCAUGACGUCGCAAGACCAAAGUGGGGGACCUUCGGGCCUCACGCCAUCGGAUGUGCCCAGAUGGGAUUAGCUAGUAGGUGAGGUAAUGGCUCACCUAGGCGACGAUCCCUAGCUGGUCUGAGAGGAUGACCAGCCACACUGGAACUGAGACACACGGUCCAGACUCCUACGGGAGGCAGCAGUGGGGAAUAUUGCACAAUGGGCGCAAGCCUGAUGCAGCCAUGCCGCGUGUGUGAAGAAGGCCUUAGGGUUGUAAAGCACUUUCAGCGAGGAGGAAGGCGUUGUGGUUAAUAGCUGCAACGAUUGACGUUACUCGCAGAAGAAGCACCGGCUAACUCCGUGCCAGCAGCCGCGGUAAUACGGAGGGUGCAAGCGUUAAUCGGAAUUACUGGGCGUAAAGCGCACGCAGGCGGUUUGUUAAGUCAGACGUGAAAUCCCGAGCUUAACUUGGGAACUGCAUUUGAAACUGGCAAGCUAGAGUCUUGUAGAGGGGGGUAGAAUUCCAGGUGUAGCGGUGAAAUGCGUAGAGAUCUGGAGGAAUACCGGUGGCGAAGGCGGCCCCCUGGACAAAGACUGACGCUCAGGUGCGAAAGCGUGGGGAGCAAACAGG
rnacentral:rRNA from 1 species